rnacentral:lncRNA from 1 species
GCCUGAAUGCUUCACUGCCUGAGGGAAUGCAUGUGUCUCUAAGGAACUGCAAGACACAUUGUACUCCAGGAGCCAUAGACUCUAACCUGAAAUACCUAUGGCAUAUGCCUGUCAAGGCAAGCCAACUCCAUGGUUCCUUGCAAUUAAUGAUACUGGUUAAUUCAGAGAUUAAAAAUCAGGGAGAAUAAUCAAUGAAUAACCCUGCCCAAAUCCUGACACAUGGAUGUCCUGAAUCACAACAAUUAGCAGUGUAGCAAGAUAUCUUCAAGGGUGAAUAAUGGCACUAAUAUGCUGGUGGCAUGCCGUAUCUGGAAAACUGAAAUACAGCCUUCUCAAUAAGAGGCAAUUUGUGACUAGUACCAUAAACCUGGCUAGCUACCCAUAUGCUAUCUGGUAAGGUCAUGGAGCCCAUAACAGAACAUAUUAUUGCCAAUUUUCUAAAACACUAUAAUGUCUAAAUUCUAAAUAUUUACCCUUAUACCCACAAAGUCAUUUAUCUCUUACUCCUCAUCAAAGAAGAUUCUUCUUAUAUCAGAGAGCAGCAAUGAAAGCUACAACUUGCAAAACUUCCAUGGUUGGUUACAUGGUGUCCAAUCUCAAAUGGUAAUGUUACUCCUAUACCAAAAGGUUCAGGGAACAUCAUAGAAGAAACCAUAGAAAAUUCUAAGAGCCAGAGGGUCAGGAGAUACUCUAUAAGUUAGUGUCUUUUUUAUAUGACAGGGAAGCUACAACCAUGAAAUGUCAACAAUAUAGUUACCAAAGGAAACCUAAACAAUGACAAUACUAGUUGGCAAGUCAAUAUUGGUAUGAGAAAUUUUGCAAGGCCUUACUAUUAUACUAAGGAUUUCAGGCAAUUUAUGACUACUAUAGGAGAGAGAGAACCAUUCAUCCUCGGGGCUGUAUCCCUAAUUGAUUUUCCAGUACCAAGUAGUCAGCCUUUAAAGUAUAUCCACACGAGCAAUAUUAAAGGAAUUCAGUAUGUUUUAGUUAUGUAUUAAUUGCUUAUAUGUGUAGAUGAUAUAAUUAAAAUAAAAGAGGACAUAUGUGGGGCACAAGAGUUGGAGGGAGCUUAAUGAGAUAGGAAUGAUAUAAAUAAAGUGCAUAUAUUUGGAAUCAAAAGAAUAACAUUGUACUGUUCAUAGUAUCUUUUGGGUUAGGUUUUGAAUGUUAUCUCUGAUAUGACUUACUGAAAAAAUUUCAGUAAGUCCCAUUUGCUUUAAGUAGUGUUUUGAAUCGCAGGCCUCAUUAUGACAGUUCUAUAGUUAUCUCUAUAGCCUCAAUUCUUCUGUAACUUGUGCAUUGUAAAAGGAAUUGUGUUUGGUUUGCUUUCAAGAGGAAAAAUAAUGAAGCAAAGUCAGUCGUAUAAAGUGAGAUUUGGAAAAGAGUACAGUGGAUGAAGUAUACUUUUAUCAAUUACCACUGCAUAUUUAGGAGAAAUUGCUAUGAUGAUCUUACAGGCAUUCCAUUUGUAUCUUACAGGUCAAUGAUUCAUAAAAGACAGAUUUUUUAAACAUACUUGUUCAAAUGAAUCAGGAAAUAUUAGUACUCUUUUUUAGAAUCUGCCUGAGAGGCACUUGAUUGUAAUUGUCAGAAGUAAGGUUAAAUAUCUUUAUAUUAAGAGCUCCAUAAGUAUUAGUAAUAACCAGGGUUACAAAUGACUGUGCUAGAAGCCCUGGGCUCACAGCACUACACAAUUAGUUACUUAAUGUCUCUUGCAGCUUGGUUCUCAAGUGUAUGCCAAAGUCUCACAUGUGGAAACGGAUUCAUCAGCCUGUGUUCUUAUUGGGAGGUUGUGGAAAGAUUAGGAAGUCUGCUCUCAUUUAAAGAAAUUAUGCCACUUGACUAUGCCUUGGAAAGAUUUAUUAGGAUCCUAGCCCCUUCCUCUAGCUUUUAUCUUGUCCACUGGGAAAUAAGUACCUUUGCUCAAACCUAAACUCCACUACACUCAGGUAGAAGAACAAGAAGUUGUUACGGUGGCAAUCGUUAAUAUAAGAUAUGUGAUUGCAGUUUUAUUUUUCUUCAAAUGAAAACAUAGACUUGUAUUUUCUCCUAAUUAAUCAUAUGGAGUGAAUUUUGAAUUAUAAACUAUGCUAAUACCAGAACCUGGUAUCAGACUUGGUUAAAAUGUGUCAUUUAUUAUUUGCUAUAGACUAAGUCAUUCAUUAUAUAACAUAAUAUACAGUCUCAUCUUGUAAGAACAUUUAACAACUUAAUUUCAAAGGUAUAUUAACCAACACUGUACUUUUGUAAUCUAUUCUUAUUUAAAUCAGUUGUAGAAGCCUAUGAUGUAUUUGGUACCCACUAAUCUAGUAUUGUUUUUAUUUAUGAGGGCAUAUGAGCUUAAACCAAAAUUUUACAAUAAAGAAAACUUUGCUUAGAACAAUUAAUUCAUCAUUAAGAUGUUAAGCUAAGAGAAGUGCUGACACACCUAUAAGCACAGGUAAGACCCCUACUUAAGCUCUGAGGAGCCCACCAAGAAGAACUCUCAAUUCUGAACAUCUAUCUCCAAAUGCAAGGGCACCCACAUUCAUAAAAGAAAUUUUACUAAAUCUCAAAACAUACAUUUCACCUCACACAAUAAUAGAUGGAGACUUCAACACCUCACUUCCAUCAACGGACAGACCCUGGAAACAAAAACUAAACAAAGACACAGUGAAACUAACAGAAGUUAUGGACAUAGUACUACCUGAUGACCCAGCUAUACCAUUCCUGGGCAUAAAACCAGAAGAUGCACCAACGUGGAAUAAGGACACAUGCUCCACUAUGUUCUAGAAGCUCUAUUUAUAAUAGCCAGAAACUGGAAACAACCCAGAUGACCCUCAACAGAGGGAUGAAUACAGAAAGUGUGGUACAUUUCACAAUGGAAUACAAUUCGGCUAGUAAAAACAAUUAAGUCUUAAAAUUCCCAGGCAAAGGGAUGAAACUUGACAAUAUAAGAACACACAUGGUAUGCAUUCACUGAUAAGUGAUUAUUAGCCCAAAAGUUCACAAUACCCAAGAUCCAAUUCACAGGCCAUAUGAAGCUCAAGAAUAAGGAAAACCAAAGUGUGGAUGCUUCAGUGCUUCUUAGAAGGGGGAACAAAAUAUUGCAGGAUGAAAUAUGGAGAUAAAGUGUGGAGCAGAGACUGACAGAAAGGCUCUUCAAAGACUGACCCACCUGGGGAUCCAUUCCAUACACAAUUACCAAACACAGACACUAUCUUGGAUGCCAAGAAGUGCUUGCUGAAAGGAGCCUAUUUUGGCUGUCUCCUGAGAAGCUCUGCCAGAGCCUGACAAAUACAGAGGCAGAUGCUCACAGCCAACUAUUGGAUUGAGUGUGGGGUCCCUGAUGGAGGAGCUGGAGAAGGGACUGAAGGAGCUGAGGCAGGUUGUAGCCCCAUUGGGGUUAGCAACAGUGUCAACUGGCCAGACCCUUUCCCCCCCACCCCCCAGAGCUCCUGGAGACUGCUACAUCAACUACAGAGUACACAUGGAGGGACCCAUGUUUCAGGCAGCAUAUGUGGCAGAGGAUAGCCUUGUUGGACAUCAGUGGGAGGAGAGUCCCUUGGGCCUGAGGAGGUUUGAUGUCCCAGUGUAGGGGAAUGCCAGGGUGGGAAGGUGGGAAUGGGUGAGUGGGAGAGCACCAUCAUAGAAGCAGGGGGAGGGGGGAAUGGGGUAGAGGGUUUGCAGAGGGGAGAUCUUCAAAUGGUAUAACAUUUGAAAUGUAAAUAAAGAAAAAAUCCAACAAAGACGGGAAAAGAUAUUAAGCUCAUUGUGUUUUGUCUGAUUUGAUAAUCUAUUUUUAAGAUAUAGUUGGAUCCUCGAAUAAUAUGUUUUAGAAGAAACUGUUACAAAGGGUGCAUAUAUUAUAAGAAUUUCUAAAGCACAUCUUACUUAAUUUUUAUAUUCACAAAUCUUCUUAGUUGGAGAGAUGUCUCUGUAGUUAAGAAUAUUUGCAGCUGUAACUGAUGAACUAUGAUGAGUUCCAGCACCCACAGGGUGACACAAAACAAUAUGUCAUUCCAUUUUCAGGGUAUUUGACAAAGUCUUCUUGCUUUCAUGGACACCAGAUUCAGACAUGGUAUGCACACAUACAUGUAGAAAAAGUUCUCAUACACAUGAAAUGAAGAUAAAUUUGUUUUUAGAAUCCCACUCUUUCUGUUUUCAAUUUUAAUAAUGUGGAGUCUCUUCAUCUUUUAGCACUGGCUAUGCUUUAAUAUUAACUCAUAGGGUGAAUUUUUUACAUUAAUCUUUUGAGUGAACUACUCUUGAGGCACUGAAGUGUGUAAUGUUGCAAGAAGACGUUUGAAAUAUUCAUGAUGGAGAAUGGUUCUGGUACUGCAGCAAAAGUGGGACGAGAAGACAUUACAGUCAGCACCUUUAUCUUAUGCUGUAAAAAAUAUCAGUUAGAUAAGAGUUACACGUUUCCACAUGUGAGUCUUUGGCAUACACUCAAGGCCAAGAAAUAAAGUCAAUCAAAGCAAGAAACAUAAACCUUCACAAAACCAGAAAAAAAAAUCAAUUAUCCUUUAAACAAGAAAGAAAAUAGAGACUUUAGGAAACUUUCAGCUAGUCAACAAAGGGUUGAAGGCUUGUUUUACUUUUGUGCUGAUAACUUCACACCAUUCCUGAACUUUAAACACAUAUAUAAACUAUUGUGUGAAUAUGUGUGUACAAGUGUUCAUGGGUGUGUGUGUGCAUGUGCAUGUAUGUGUGUGUUUCUGUGUGUGUAUAUUCAUGAACCUGUAUGCACACAAUCCCAUAUUAAUGCUUAGAGAUGAUAGAGAUUGAUACUGGGAUGUUUUCCUCAAUUGAUUCUUCACCUAUUUAUUUUGUUGUUGUUGCUCUCCCCCAAACCCAGCACACACACCUUUUUUCUAUUGCAGAUCAUUUGCUUAUAUGUUUUGUUAUAUUGUGUUUAUAUAUUAUAUGUGUAUCUCAGUGUUUUUAAUAACUUUUUUUGUUUUCCCAAUUCUCUUUUGCUUUUAUUUAUUAUUUUUAUAAGUAGUAUUAUUAAAUGCCUGGUGUUUUUUGUUUUUAUUUGUUUGCUUGCUUAUUCAUUUGUUUGUUUUUGUUUUUGUUUUUGUUUUUGUUUUUUUCAAAUCAGAGAUUCUCUGUGUAUCUCAGACUGUCCUAGAACUCACUCUGUAGACCAGGGUAGCCUAGAACUUUGAGACCUACCUGCCUCUGUUUCAUAAGCACUAAAAUGAAAGGCUUGUGCCACCAUCACUGGCUGUCUGUUUUCUAUGAGAGAGCAAAAGGAAUGCCAACGAUCUGGGUAAGUGUGGAAGCCAAUUGGAUCUGGGGAAGUUGGACAACAGGAAAUGAUAAUUAAAUUACAUUUUGUGAAAGAAAAACUAUUUUCAAUUUAAAAAGAAAAGAGAAUGUGAUAUUCCACAGCUUCAGAAUGACUAUUCUAAACAUGCAUACAUUUAAUAAGACAUGUUCACCUUGAAAUUGGUUCAUAUUAGUGUAGUUUAUGACUUUUUAAAACAAUUGUCUUAGGUUUCCAAAAAUAAUCAUACAUACAUAGUAUUUUAUAUAUAACAUUAUAUACAAGAAAUAAAUAUAUGAGUGAAUUUAUGCUAUAGAGAAGUGGUUCUCAACUUGAAUUCUGAGACCCUUUUAUACAGUUAUAUAUGUUGUAUUGACACUCAACCAUAAAAUUUCUUUGCUACAUCAUAAUUAUAGUUAUGCUGAUAUCAUACUACUGUUAUGAUUCAUGAUGUAAAUAUUAGAGUUUUCUACUGAUCAUCAGCAAUCUCUCUGAAAGAGUCAUUCGGCCAUCAAGUGUUCAAUAUAUGAAAUGGCAUAAAGAACAUGAUUAUAAUAAGGACAUUACUUUAUCAGUCAAUAUUUUUCUAGUGCCAUUCACUCAUUCACAUGCUACUAUGUUAUUUAAGAAUCUUUUCAUAUAGCACAAAAUGUUCUUUAAGCACAACCUCCCAUAUGUUUGCACCUCCAUUCUCUCUUAUUAAGCUGUUUUAUUCUGCUUAUUUCUUUUCUGAUUAUAUUUUGUUCUAACCCAACUUUAUGUGGUAUUUUCCCUGCAGAAAAGAAGCUAUAUUUGAAGAGUCUUGAGUUUCUUCAUUUUUAUUUUAUUUGCAGAAAUGAAUGUAGGAUAUAUAUCUGGAAAUUUAAUUAACAUAUGGCAGAACAAUUUUGUCAGUUUUCUAUAACAUAGUUUUUGUAAAAAAUUGGCCUAGUUCUUGGAAUUAGUAACAAUGGAAGAUACAUGUUAUUUUACAAUAAUCCAGUAUAGUCAACAUCUAUGUUUACCAAUUAUGCUGGGUUUAUUUUUCAAUGAGAGUUAAUUUUGGCUACCCCCACCCCAGAUGCCAGGGAAGCAUGAGGCUCCCAGACCACAUCUGAGAUGACUUUACCUGAAAUAUUCAACAAAGGGGAGAU